GGUUAUGAGCAAUCUUGUGUUUGCGGAUCGUAGCUAGCUCUCGUGUGACGUUUUCCUGAGCCCCGAAAGUUCACGGUGCAGUCGCUGUGUUGCCUUCAUCUUGCAGCUUCCUAGCCUUCAUCUAGGCUUAGCUUCCUAGCGAGCGAUGUGCUCUUGCUGCCGAGAAGGCUAAUGGUAUCCAGGGCUCUGUUAGGCAAAGUAUUGCCAGCGGGUCAAGAGAGGUGAUCAUUCCAUUCUACUCAACAUUGCUAAGUGCUGGCUCUAGUUCCAGGCUCCCCAGUACGAGAAAGAUGGUUGUAUUGGUAGGAGCCCAAUGAAGGGCCACCGGUGUGCUGGAGGCUGGAGUGCCUCAUCUGGGAGGAGAGCUGGGGCUGUUCAGCCUGGAGGAGAGGAGACUCAGCUGUCUAUUUUAUCGAAUUCUAUAAACACCUGAAUUGUUAUUUGUAGGUGCGUAGAAAGGGCACAUGCUGCCCAGAGAGGCUGUGCGGACUCUUCCUUAGAAAUAUCCAAGAGCUGAAUCUCCAAGAGCUAUUUGGCCGUGGGCCUGGCGCCCUGCUGCUGGGGCAGGGACUGGAAUAGAUGAGUUCCAGAGUUCCCUUCCAACCUCUAAUGUUGGCUGAUUCUGUAUGAGCCUACAUUUUUACCUGCUUCUGAAACACCAGUUCCCGACUCUGGCUAGCCUCUGCAAUUGUUGAAAUUCCAACAUCAAGGAAUUUGGGAUUUUUCCUGGAAUCUCAGCUCAAGUGCUGUGAGGGAGCAAAAUCUCACCAUAGCCUGUCUCCAAACCAGCCAGACUGAUACAACCCCUGUGCAGCUCCACAGGGCUGUAGUUCCUUUCAGCACGCUCUCAGUUGUGCUGUGCAGGACACAGCUGCGCUCAGCUGAUCAAGCAGCUCUGCAGCUCUUCAGGAGCUCAUGAUUGAUGGAGGUGGAUCUCAUGAAUCUGACAUUUUUAUUGCUUGAUACUGAUGCAAAAUGAUGUGUUCAUUGUAUAACAUCAUGACAGCUAAAAUAUUUACUCAAUAAAUUGGAGGUCUUGCAUUAAA